GAUGAACGCUGGCGGCGUGCCUAAUACAUGCAAGUCGAGCGAACGGACGAGAAGCUUGUACCUCUGAUGUUAGCGGCGGACGGGUGAGUAACACGUGGAUAACCUACCUAUAAGACUGGGAUAACUUCGGGAAACCAGUGCUAAUACCGGAUAAUAUUUUUAACCGCAUGGUUCAAAAGUGAAAGACGCUCUUGCUGUCACUAAUAGAUGGAUCCGCGCGGCAUUAGCUAGUUGGUAAGGUAACGGCUUACCAAGGCAACGAUGCUUAGCCGACCUGAGAGGGUGAUCGGCCACACGGGAACUGAGACCCGGUCCAGACUCCUACGGGAGGCAGCAGUAGGGAAUCUUCGGCAAUGGGCGAAAGCCUGACGGAGCAACGCCGCGUGGGUGAUGAAGGUCUUCGGAUCGUAAAACUCUGUUAUUGGGGAAGAACAUAUGUGUAAGUAACUGUGCACAUCUUGACGGUACCUAAUCAGAAAGCCACGGCUAACUACGUG
rnacentral:rRNA from 1 species